AGAGUUUGAUCCUGGCUCAGGACGAACGCUGGCGGCGUGCUUAACACAUGCAAGUCGAGCGGAAAGGCCCUUUGGGGUACUCGAGCGGCGAACGGGUGAGUAACACGUGAGUAACCUGCCCUCAGCUUUGGGAUAAGCCUGGGAAACUGGGUCUAAUACCGGAUAUGACACGUUUUCGCAUGGGAGCGUGUGGAAAGUUU
rnacentral:rRNA from 1 species